rnacentral:rRNA from 1 species
UACAGAGGUCCCAAGCGUUGUUCGGAAUUACUGGGCGUAAAGGGCUCGUAGGCGGCCAACUAAGUCAGACGUGAAAUCCCUCAGCUUAACUGGGGAACUGCGUCUGAUACUGGAUGGCUUGGAUUCGGGAGAGGAAUGCGGAAUUCCAGGUGUAGCGGUGAAAUGCGUAGAUAUCUGGAGGAACACCGGUGGCGAAGGCGGCAUUCUGGACCGACAUUGACGCUGAGGAGCGAAAGCCAGGGGAGCAAACGGG